UACGUAGGGUGCAAGCGUUGUCCGGAAUUAUUGGGCGUAAAGAGCGUGUAGGCGGCCCGAUUAGUCCGCUGUGAAAGUCAAAGGCUCAACCUUUGAAAGCCGGUGGAUACUGUGGGACUAGAGUCCGGAAGAGGAGAGUGGAAUUCCUGGUGUAGCGGUGAAAUGCGCAGAUAUCAGGAGGAACACCGGUGGCGAAGGCGGUUCUCUGGGCCUUACCUGACGCUGAGGCGCGAAAGCUAGGGGAGCAAACGGG
rnacentral:rRNA from 1 species